rnacentral:tRNA from 1 species
UAAAUAGUUUAAUAAAAAUUUUGAUUUGUGGAUUCAAAGAUGUAUGAAGAGGUAUUUUAAAUU